rnacentral:rRNA from 1 species
UAGGGAAUCUUCGGCAAUGGGGGGAACCCUGACCGAGCAACGCCGCGUGAGGGAAGAAGGUUUUCGGAUCGGAAAGCUCUGUCGUUAAGGAAGAACGAGUGUGAGAAUGGAAAGUACAUAAUGUGACGGUACUUAACCAGAAAGGGACGGCUAACUACGUGCCAGCAGCCGCGGUAAUACGUAGGUCCUGAGCGGUGUCCGGACGUACUGGGCGUAAAGCGAGCGCAGGCGGUUAGGUAAGUCUGAAGUUAAAGGCAGUGGCUCAACCAUUGUAGGCUUUGGGAACCGUUUAGCUUUGAUGCAGUAGGGGGGAGUUGGAUUCCCUGUGUUACGGUGAAAUGCGUAGAUAUAUGGGGGGACACCUGUCGCGCAAGCGGCUCUCUGGUCUGUAACUGGCCCUGAGGCUCGAAAGCGUCGGGAGCGAACCGG